GACGAAUGCUGGCGGCGUGCUUAACACAUGCAAGUCGAACGGUGAAGCCUUUCGGGGUGGAUCAGUGGCGAACGGGUGAGUAACACGUGGGCAAUCUGCCCUGCACUCUGGGACAACUCGGGGAAACUCGGGCUAAUACCGGAUAUGACUGUCAGGCGCAUGCUUGGUGGUGUAAAGCUCCGGCGGUGCAGGAUGAGCCCGCGGCCUAUCAGCUUGUUGGUGGGGUGAUGGCCUACCAAGGCGACGACGGGUAGCCGGCCUGAGAGGGCGACCGGCCACACUGGGACUGAGACACGGCCCAGACUCCUACGGGAGGCAGCAGUGGGGAAUAUUGCACAAUGGGCGGAAGCCUGAUGCAGCGACGCCGCGUGAGGGAUGACGGCCUUCGGGUUGUAAACCUCUUUCAGCAGGGAAGAAGCGUGAGUGACGGUACCUGCAGAAGAAGCACCGGCUAACUACGUG
rnacentral:rRNA from 1 species